rnacentral:rRNA from 1 species
ACGGAAGGCAGCAGUGAGGAAUAUUGGUCAAUGGGCGGAAGCCUGAACCAGCCAAGUCGCGUGAGGGAAGACGGCCCUACGGGUUGUAAACCUCUUCUGCGCGGGGGUAAAGUCGGGGACGUGUCCCCGGUUGCAAGUACCGCGCGAAAAAGGAUUGGCUAACUCCGUGCCAGCAGCCGCGGUAAUACGGAGGAUCCGAGUGUUAUCCGGAUUUAUUGGGUUUAAAGGGUGCGCAGGCGGGAUGUCAAGUCAGUGGUGAAAUGGUGCGGCUCAACCGUAGCAUUGCCGUUGAAACUGGCGUCCUUGAGUGCGAGUGAGGUACGCGGAACGUUUCAUGUAGCGGUGAAAUGCAUAGAUAUGACACAGAACACCGAUUGCGAAGGCAGCGUACUGGGACGCGACUGACGCUGAGGCACGAAAGUGCGGGGAUCGAACAGGAUUAGAUACCCUGGUA